rnacentral:rRNA from 1 species
GGGCUUUUUGGUGAUUCAUGAUAACUUUACGGAUCGCAUAGCCUUGCGCUGGCGACGGUUCAUUCAAAUUUCUGCCCUAUCAACUUUCGAUGGUAAGGUAUUGGCUUACCAUGGUUUCAACGGGUAACGGGGAAUUAGGGUUCGAUUCCGGAGAGGGAGCCUGAGAAACGGCUACCACAUCCAAGGAAGGCAGCAGGCGCGCAAAUUACCCAAUCCCGACACGGGGAGGUAGUGACAAUAAAUACUGAUACAGGGCUCUUUUGGGUCUUGUAAUUGGAAUGAGUACAAUUUAAACCUCUUAACGAGGAACAAUUGGAGGGCAAGUCUGGUGCCAGCAGCCGCGGUAAUUCCAGCUCCAAUAGCGUAUAUUAAAGUUGUUGCAGUUAAAAAGCUCGUAGUUGAAACUUGGGCCUGGCUGGCGGGUCCGCCUCACCGCGUGCACUCGUCCGGCCGGGCCUUCCUUCUGAAGAACCUCAUGCCCUUCACUGGGCGUGCUGGGGAAUCAGGACUUUUACUUUGAAAAAAUUAGAGUGUUCAAAGCAGGCCUUUGCUCGAAUACGUUAGCAUGGAAUAAUUAAAAUAGGGCGUGCGUUUCUAUUUUGUUGGUUUCU